UACGGGGGGGGCGAAGCGUUGUUCGGAAUUACUGGGCGUAAAGGGCUCGUAGGCGGCCAACUAAGUCAGACGUGAAAUCCCUCGGCUUAACCGGGGAACUGCGUUUGAUACUGGAUGGCUUGAGUGUGGGAGAGGGAUGCGGAAUUCCAGGUGUAGCGGUGAAAUGCGUAGAUAUCUGGAGGAACACCGGUGGCGAAGGCGGCAUCCUGGACCAUUACUGACGCUGAGGAGCGAAAGCCAGGGGAGCAAACGGG
rnacentral:rRNA from 1 species